rnacentral:rRNA from 1 species
AGUGAACGCUGGCGGUAGGCCUAACACAUGCAAGUCGAACGGCAGCACAGUAAGAGCUUGCUCUUACGGGUGGCGAGUGGCGGACGGGUGAGGAAUACAUCGGAAUCUACUUUUUCGUGGGGGAUAACGUAGGGAAACUUACGCUGAUACCGCAUACGACCUACGGGUGAAAGCAGGGGAUCUUCGGACCUUGCGCGAUUGAAUGAGCCGAUGUCGGAUUAGCUAGUUGGCGGGGUAAAGGCCCACCAAGGCGACGAUCCGUAGCUGGUCUGAGAGGAUGAUCAGCCACACUGGCACUGAGACACGGUCCAGACUCCUACGGGAGGCAGCAGUGGGGAAUAUUGGACAAUGGGCGCAAGCCUGAUCCAGCCAUACCGCGUGGGUGAAGAAGGCCUUCGGGUUGUAAAGCCCUUUUGUUGGGAAAGAAAAGCAGCAGGUUAAUACCCCGCUGUUCUGACGGUACCCAAAGAAUAAGCACCGGCUAACUUCGUG